UUUAAAGGGAACGCACUCACACGCGCACAUGUCACUCUGAGCUUUUGUCACCUUCCUUCUACCUUCCGUUUCAGGCGACUUUCACUUCAACCAACUACACAACACAACACAGUCUUCAAUUCUCUCUGAGUCCUUCUUCUUAGCUCGGCCAACAUGAGUUCAAUCGUUCAGGGUUUCACGAAGUCCUUGGCCAUGACUAUUCUAUCGGAGAUCGGCGACAAAACAUUUUUUGCUGCUGCGAUAUUGGCUAUGAGGCACCCACGACGUCUAGUCUUAUCAGGUUGCUUAUCAUCUUUGAUUGUGAUGACCAUUCUGUCUGCUCUUGUUGGCUGGGCUGCUCCUAAUCUGAUUUCCCGUACUUGGACUCAUCACAUUACUACAUUGUUAUUCUUGGGGUUUGGGCUUUGGUCCUUGAAAGAUGCAUUAUUUGAACAAGGGGAUGCUGAAGAAUUGGCUGAAGUUGAAGCUAAAUUGGAUAAAGAUUGGAAGGCUAACAAUGGAGCUGCAAAAAAUAGCAAAAAGGUUGAUGAUGUCGCUAAAAAGCAGCAGCGGUCAUUUUUAUCUCAGUUUUUCUCUCCUAUCUUUCUACAGGCAUUUUCUAUCACUUUUUUUGGUGAAUGGGGUGACAAGAGCCAGCUGGCUACCAUAGGUUUGGCUGCAGAUGAGAAUCCAUUUGGUGUUGUUCUCGGGGGGAUUCUGGGACAAGCGCUGUGCACCUCUGCUGCUGUUGUUGGAGGGAAGAGUUUAGCUUCUCGGAUAUCUGAAAAAAUUGUUGCACUCUCCGGCGGAAUUCUUUUUAUUGUUUUUGGAAUUCAAUCAUACCUUUCUCCUGUGGAAUCAUGAAGGGCUGUGCUAUUGGUUAGUGAUUAUUCUUUGUGCAUUUUACUAGACAUGAUUGAAAACAUGUUUGUUAUAAUGAUUGGAACUGGUUGCCAGAAGACCUCAGCUUCGUGUCUAAUCCUCCUGGGUCGUAGAUUUCAUUCUCUUACCACUGUAGAACCAGAGCCAAAUUCAACAUAGGGGAUGAAAAAGCUUUUCCGUCACUGGAGCAAUUGGUCAAAGUGAAACUGGUAGGUCUCAAUUUGAGUGAACUUGAUAUGUACAAUAAUCUUUCCUUUCAAAGUUCAUAUAAAAAUGGGUAGAACCCUCGCUCCCCAAGUGCUGUAACUUGAUAUCGCAUGUUUUUUUUUGUCUCUCACAACUAAUCUUUAGUUUAGCAUUGUUCCCUCCUAAAGCGUCAUGUACCAUUGUACUAGUCAUACUUGAGCCUGAUAAUUCAACUAUAGCAAGUUUAAAAUUCCAGUU